AAGACUGGGCUAGGGACUUGGCCUCCGCCAGCAACCGGGCAGUGCCCGAAGUGAGGACAGAUAACCUCCGCCCACCUUUCCUUGGCACCAGAAAGGUGGGAAAGCUGCCUGCAGGGUUGACUAGGUUUGGCUAAAAUACACGAUCAGGCUUUUUUCCAAAACAGCAGAAUAGGUACCGUUUUUGUUGUCGUGGACUUGGCAUAACUGGAAUCCUGGCCAGAUCAUCAUCUUUUGAUUGGGUACUAGACCUUGCAGCUUACACCAUGCUUGGACCCACUGGGCUUCUUACAUAGGACAACCCGUUAUAGGUGUCAUCGGAUUUUCUUCGCCGAAUAAGCAGGGGCCGCUGUAUCCCCCUGUAGCUGGCACUCAGACAUUCGGACUUUUGACUAGAUGAAUCAGAUUUUACAGAUGGGGAACCUGUGUUGGGGAGCUGAGACUCAAACGAUAUCUUCUGACACAGAGGCAGAGCCUCUUUGUAAUUCCAUUCACUCUCCCCGAUUCAUAGACUGUUAGCCACUGAAGACAGGGUCCUCCGAGACCAUCAGUCCAUCCCCCUCACUUCACAGAGACGUGAGCUGGAAGCUUCACAAAACACAACUACCAGGCUUCAGGUUAGAAGUACUAAGGAGAAAGUGUGCCGCUAGCAAGAAGUCAUCAUAAGUCAUAAGAAAAUGGUAAAGAGUCGUGUGUGUGCAGGAUUCAUUUCUCCCCAAUAGAAGUCCAUCCUGAAAAACAAAGAUCGAAUGACGUAACUUGCAGAAAUGAGUCACUGACGUUCAUCAUCGAGAGAAGAGGAAAAGCGAUCGCCAAAUGCCUCCAAGGACGAUGUGCUUGGUACGAGUUAGGAAAACUGAACAGGUUCGGCUUGGUGAAGGUCGUGUGUGGAAAUUGAAGUCUCCCGACUGGUAGGUUCAUACGCCAAGGCCUUCGGACACAGACAGCCCCCAGAUGGACAGCCAGGAGGCUGUGGACGGGCGCGGCUCCGUCCUGAUGAGUAACCAGGUGGCCACCGUGCAUGGGCGAGGCCGCGAGGAGGGCCGUCUGACCUCGAGAUAGAAAGGAAGCAGGACGGCGUCUGCAGCAGCUGCGGACAACAGUGUUCUGUAAAACAUCUGUAGGGAGGGUAAGAGGAGCUUGUUCUAAAAACGCUCACAGUCGGGUUUCAUGUUUUCUCGGGGAUGCACGCACAGCCCCCCUGCUUCCUUACAAAUGAACGGACGUGUGAAUAGCACUUCAGGAUCUAACCUGUUUGUACUAUAAUGAGCUUCUUUAUUAGUUAACAGACUUCUUCUUACAAAUGGGACGUGUACAUAAUGUUUAUCGAGCAUCGUGUACGGGGCCUUGGGGGAAGCAAAGAUGAGUAGGACUUGAUCCUGCCCUGAAGGACAUUACAGCCUAGCGGGGAGGACAUGCACAUAAAAAGUUCGUUGAACACUUUGUAAGUGUAAUUAUACACUAUAUUAUUAUCAUACUGUGUUAUAAUGAUGGAACUAUCCAGAAGGUGCUGUGGGACACAGGAGAGUCUUCCUGGAAGAGGUGAGGCUUGAGCCUAGUCCAACAGAAGGACAGCGUGCGGCACGGAGCAGGACCGAGAGGAGAAGCAGCAGAGCAGAAGGAAGAUUGAAAGUUGUGUUGGCUGUCUCAGAAACUAAAAGCCGUACCAGCUUUUUACAGUUUGAAGGAAUAAAAUAAAUUUUGAAUGAGAAAUCUCAUAAAUUUCACUGUAAAUCAGGUUAAUUUAAAAUGCUGAGUGAGUAAAAUAGAAGAAAUAUCAUUAAACUCCCACACCAAGCAUAAUUAAUCAUUUCUCAUAAUUAUCAAAAUAUAUUUCAUAA